AAGUCGAGCGUGAAAUUUUCUAGCUUGCUAGAAAAUGGAAAGCGGCGAACGGGUGAGUAACAUGUUGGCAUCUGCCCCCAAGUCAGGGAUAGCCCACUGAAAAGUGGAAUAAUACCGGAUGGUCUCUUCGGAGUAAAGAUUUAUCGCUUGGGGAGGAGCCUACAUUCUAUCAGCUAGUUGGUGAGGUAAUAGCUUACCAAGGCUUUGACGGAUAAUUGGUCUGAGAGGAUGACCAGUCACAAUGGAACUGAGACAAGGUCCAUACUCC
rnacentral:rRNA from 1 species